CUGAUGGUAAGUGGUAGUAGAGUCCAAACGCGACGACGGCCAGUACAGACGGGAAAAACGUUCUGCACUAGCCGCCUUCGCCUUGCCGGCCCGCAAGAUGCCUCUUCACGCCUCGAAAAGAGACGUGAAGCGAGCGACGUAUUGCCACGAUAGGGAUGGGCAAAGUGUG